rnacentral:rRNA from 1 species
GGUUUUCCCCGUGGGAACUAAGCAUAUCAAUAAGCGGAGGAAAAGAAACUAACAAGGAUUCCCCUAGUAACUGCGAGUGAAGCGGGAAAAGCUCAAAUUUAAAAUCUGGUGGUCUUUGGCCGUCCGAGUUGUAAUUUAGAGAAGCGUCUUCCGCGCUGGACCGUGCACAAGUCUCCUGGAAUGGAGCGUCGUAGAGGGUGAGAAUCCCGUCUUUGGCAUGGACACACCAGGGCUUUUGUGAUGCGCUCUCGAAGAGUCGAGUUGUUUGGGAAUGCAGCUCAAAAUGGGUGGUGAACUCCAUCUAAAGCUAAAUAUUGGCGAGAGACCGAUAGCGAACAAGUACCGUGAGGGAAAGAUGAAAAGCACUUUGGAAAGAGAGUGAAACAGUACGUGAAAUUGUUGAAAGGGAAACGCUUGAAGUCAGUCGCGUCGACCGAGACUCAGCCUCGCCUCGGCUUGGUGUACUUCUCGGCCGACGGGUCAGCAUCAAUUUUGCCUCUUGGAUAAUGGCGGGGGAAAUGUGACACCUUUACGGUGUGUUAUAGUCUCUCGUCGCAUGCAAGGGUCGGGAUUGAGGAACUCAGCACGCGCCUUUGGGCGUCGGGGCUUUGCCCACGAUUACGUGCUUAGGAUGUUGGCGUAAUGGCUUUAAACGACCCGUCUUGAAACACGGACCAAGGAGUCUAACAUGCCUGCGAGUGUUCGGGUGGAAAACCCGUGCGCGCAAUGAAAGUGAAAGUUGGGACCUCCGUCGUGGAGGGCACCGACGCCCGGACCAGACCUUCUGUGACGGCUCUGCGGUAGAGCAUGUAUGUUAGGACCCGAAAGAUGGUGAACUAUGCCUGAAUAGGGUGAAGCCAGAGGAAACUCUGGUGGAGGCUCGUAGCGAUUCUGACGUGCAAAUCGAUCGUCAAAUUUGGGUAUAGGGGCGAAAGACUAAUCGAACCAUCUAGUAGCUGGUUCCUGCCGAAUUCCCCUCUC